rnacentral:rRNA from 1 species
UACACUCCUACGGGAGGCAGCGGUGGGGAAUUUUGGACAAUGGGCGAAAGCCUGAUCCAGCAAUGCCGCGUGAGUGAAGAAGGCCUUCGGGUUGUAAAGCUCUUUUGUCAGGGAAGAAACGGUGAAAGCUAAUAUCUUUUGCUAAUGACGGUACCUGAAGAAUAAGCACCGGCUAACUACGUGCCAGCAGCCGCGGUAAUACGUAGGGUGCAAGCGUUAAUCGGAAUUACUGGGCGUAAAGCGUGCGCAGGCGGUUUUGUAAGUCUGAUGUGAAAUCCCCGGGCUCAACCUGGGAAUUGCAUUGGAGACUGCAAGGCUAGAAUCUGGCAGAGGGGGGUAGAAUUCCACGUGUAGCAGUGAAAUGCGUAGAUAUGUGGAGGAACACCGAUGGCGAAGGCAGCCCCCUGGGUCAAGAUUGACGCUCAUGCACGAAAGCGUGGGGAGCAAACAGGAUUAGAAACCCCUGUAGUCCCA